GGCGCACCUAGACAAGAAUUUUAUAAAUACCCGAGUAUAUUUGAUGAAGCCUAUGUGAUGAGUCACUUACCUUGCUGCAGCCAGUAGUCGAUAGACUUUUCCACCUCUGGCAAAGGAGCAUUAAAGCCCAAAUAGCCAUCUAGUGCCAUGUGGAAGUCGUAGGUCAUCACAUUGAUGAACGUUAAGUGCUGAGAAAUUGCCGGAAUAUCGUAAGAAGUGGUCGCAGAAGCUUCAGAGGCGCCCACAGCAAUACCCAACUCCAAGCCAAGCGUAACGAAGUUCGCUCGAUCCGCAGCCUCACCGCCGCGUUGUCCGGGAUAUUCCCAGUCUAAGUCAAGACCAUCGAAGCCAUAUUGCUGGAUGAAGGAUAAUGUGGAGGAAAUAAAGGUCGCCCUUUUUGCUGGAUCGGCAGCCAUUGCCGAGUAUUUGGUGGAGCCUUCAUUCCAUCCACCCACCACAGCCAAUACUUUCAGCUUGGGAUUCACCUGUUUCAAUGCAAUUGUCUUGCUUAUGAAACCUACAAAAUAAUUCCCAAGUUCACUUAAACUGAUCGACGAAUAUACAGAAUUGUUCAGGUACUCACCCAGACCAUCAUCCAUGUCCAGCCAUGUGUCCAGGGACUUGAACUCGCCCGAGUCGCUGAUGCCAAAGAACGUGUAGCUAAUGUGCGUGCACAGGGAUGGAUCUAUGUUGGAUGGCUCAAAUUUUCCAUCUCCAGGUCGAUAAUUGGCCCAGGUGCCCCAAUAACAGUUGAGUAACUCUGCAAGACACGCCCAGAUCAAUAUCGACCGAUGACAAACGGGUUCUCAGAAGGAGGUACUCGCACUUACUGUCGCUGGCGGCCAGCUGACCUAGACAAAUCAAUGACAAUACCAAGCACGCGAAUGACUUCAUGCUUACUCUAGCUCUGAGUUCAUAUUGCCGUUACUUUUAUAGGUCGUGUACUCGCUUUGCUUAUCAGAUCCAUAAACGACAAUCUACUGUGAACUGGGUAGAUAACAUUUGCCAUCUGCGGGCGGAGUCAACGUUAAAACCACGAAAAACAAUGUCCUAAUAUAUUGCAUCUGUUGGAUAAUCUAGAUUAGAAAAGCGCUCCUCCUAUAUUUCGCACUUCAAUAUGAGUAUACUAAAUUAAAUUUUGACUCAUACUCCCCA